rnacentral:rRNA from 1 species
AUUGAACGCUGGCGGCAUGAUUUACACAUGCAAGUCGAACGGUAACAGGCCGCAAGGUGCUGACGAGUGGCGAACGGGUGAGUAAUGCAUCGGAACGUGCCCAGUCGUGGGGGAUAACUACUCGAAAGAGUAGCUAAUACCGCAUACGAUCUAUGGAUGAAAGCGGGGGACCGUAAGGCCUCGCGCGAUUGGAGCGGCCGAUGUCAGAUUAGGUAGUUGGUGGGGUAAAGGCUCACCAAGCCAACGAUCUGUAGCUGGUCUGAGAGGACGACCAGCCACACUGGGACUGAGACACGGCCCAGACUCCUACGGGAGGCAGCAGCGGGGAAUUUUGGACAAAGGGCGCAAGCCUGAUCCAGCAAUGCCGCGUGCAGGAAGAAGGCCUUCGGGUUGUAAACUGCUUUUGUACGGAACGAAACGGCUCUGGUUAAUACCCGGGGCUAAUGACGGUACCGUAAGAAUAAGCACCGGCUAACUACGUG